AACGAACGCUGGCGGCAGGCUUAACACAUGCAAGUCGAGCGCCCCGCAAGGGGAGCGGCAGACGGGUGAGUAACGCGUGGGAACGUACCUUUUGGUUCGGAACAACUCCGGGAAACUGGAGCUAAUACCGGAUAAGCCCUAACGGGGAAAGAUUUAUCGCCGAAAGAUCGGCCCGCGUCUGAUUAGCUAGUUGGUGAGGUAACGGCUCACCAAGGCGACGAUCAGUAGCUGGUCUGAGAGGAUGAUCAGCCACACUGGGACUGAGACACGGCCCAGACUCCUACGGGAGGCAGCAGUGGGGAAUAUGGGACAAUGGGCGCAAGCCUGAUCCAGCCAUGCCGCGUGAGUGAUGAAGGCCUUAGGGUUGUAAAGCUCUUUUGUCCGGGAAGAUAAUGACUGUACCGGAAGAAUAAGCCCCGGCUAACUUCGU
rnacentral:rRNA from 1 species